CAGCCGCCGCGGUAAUACGGAGGGCGCGAGCGUUGUCCGGAUUCACUGGGCGUAAAGCGGGUGUAGGCGGUCGGGUAAGUCGGACGUGAAAGCCCGGGGCUCAACCCCGGAAGGGCGUCCGAAACUGCUCGACUUGAGGGCGGGAGAGGGAGGUGGAAUUCUCGGUGUAGCGGUGAAAUGCGUAGAUAUCGGGAGGAACACCAGUGGCGAAGGCGGCCUCCUGGCCCGCUCCUGACGCUGAGACCCGAAAGCGUGGGGAGCAACCCGGAUUAGAUACCCGGGUAGCCCACGCCGUAAACGGUGGGCACUAGGUGUGGGGGGUUAAUCCCUCCGUGCCGAAGCUAACGCAUUAAGUGCCCCGCCUGGGGAGUACGGCCGCAAGGUUGAAACUUAAAGGAAUUGGCGGG
rnacentral:rRNA from 1 species